AUGGCUGAGUGAGACACUUCUCUAUGUUGCCACUUGGAAUCUGUAUUAGGAAGUGUUUCUGGAUUUGGGCUACAGAAGGAAUGGAGAUGGGCUAGGAAGGAUGAUGAGAGUCGGUGAGAAUGAGCUAAGAUCUGUCAUGCAUACUUGCUGUCCAAGGAGACCAGAAAAGGGCAUUGAAUCCCCUGAGACUGCAGUGCUUGUGAGCCACUAUGCAGGGACACUCAGCAGCCACACCCAUAUGUAGUAGCCCUUUACCUCUAGGACUUCUCUUCAGGAAAAGGAUCAGGGAUCCUUGGACAAAUGGCUGAUUCUAGGACUGGGGCAGCUAACAAACAAGAAGGGGCUGGAAGGAGCAUCUUGUCGCAGAGGAGACUCAGGAAGUGCUCUAUCUCCUUCCAACUCUCUGAACACAAGGACAUUUGCCAGAAGGACAACACAGUUGAAAGACAAUGAAGCUGAAGAAAUAUUGGAUUAUGAUUCAAUGUAUUUUUUAAGUUUGAGUCCAUAGUUAUAAGUAAAUGACUAAAUAAACAGGAAUUUCAUAUAAUUUUUGCAAAUACCUUGCCUCAAGGAGGUAUACAUAGCUCCUUGCAACUUAAGUGUGUACUAUGGAGUGGCUUCCUGUGCAAGAAUUAAAACAGAAAUUCGACAAGCACUCCCUCAGCCAAGUGACCAAAGGUCACGGAGCAGUGGCAGGUCAUGUGAAUGCUAGGUAGCCUUACUAAGAUGGGAAAACAACGGUUUCUUGUCUCUGGGGCUUCCUUAGAAGCCUACUAAGUGCAUUCUAGACAAGUAUCAUUAAGGGGCAUCCUUUGAAACUUCUUAAAACGGAAACUCCUUAAAACGGUUAAACCCUUCAAGAAGAAAUGAAGCCUAAAGCUACACAAGGUGGGGAUGCCUGCAAUUCCAGCACUUGGUGGCUUCAUCUGAAGGAGUACGAGAUCAAAGGCAGACACGGAGAGAUAUUUUUUUUUUUUUAAAAGACAAGGAAAAGUAAGUAGGAAAGAAAAGACUACAUGGCACGAGAGAACUGGUGACUGCAUGUGGAAGAAAAGUGUCAUCUAUCCAGUCAGCAGCAUCCUAAGGAGCCACGAUUACUGUAUGUGGUGUCUGGGGUGGUAUAUUAGUCACUUUAUGUACUGCUAGGGUGGACCAGCUUUAGAAAGUAAGGGUUUGUUUGGUUCCGUCUGAGAUAUAGUCGAUUGCUGUGGGGGAGUUAACCGCAGCAGGAGGUGAGGCAGCUGGUCACACGGCGUGGGCAGUGAGGAAGCAGAGAGAGACGGAUA